rnacentral:lncRNA from 1 species
AAAGAGACCAGUUCCCAAAUCAAAAAAAGGAAAGCCAAAAUUUGAGCUUUGCCGACAUUCUACUAACUUCCGAUUCCUCCAUCGAUUUUCUUGCUUGUAGUCGCCGGAGAUCCGAAAUGAAAGGCCAGAUGAAGCUAAACUUACUUGCUGCUCUACUAACUUCCGAUUCCUCCAUCGGUUGUUGCUUGCUUGUAGUCGCCGGAGAUCCGAAAUGAAGGCCCAAAUGGAGCUAAACUUACUUGCUGCUCU